rnacentral:rRNA from 1 species
GACGAACGCUGGCGGCGUGCUUAACACAUGCAAGUCGAACGGAAAGGCCCUGCUUUUGUGGGGUGCUCGAGUGGCGAACGGGUGAGUAACACGUGAGUAACCUGCCCUUGACUUUGGGAUAACUUCAGGAAACUGGGGCUAAUACCGGAUAGGAGCUCCUGCUGCAUGGUGGGGGUUGGUAAGUUUCGGCGGUUGGGGCUGGACUCGCGGCUAAUCAGCUUGUUGGUGGGGUAGUGGCUUACCAAGGCUUUGACGGGUAGCCGGCCUGUGAGGGUGACCGGCCACAUUGGGACGGGGAUGCGGCCCAGCCUCCAACGGGAGGCAGCAGUGGGGAAUAUUGCACAAUGGGCGGAAGCCUGAUGCAGCAACGCCGCGUGCGGGAUGACGGCCUUCGGGUUGUAUACCGCUUUCGCCUGUGACGAAGCGUGAAUGACGGUAAUGGGUAAAGAAGCACCGGCUAACUACGUG